UAAUGCAGUCGACGAACUCUGGUAUUGAUUGGUGCUUGCAUCAUGAUUUACAUUUGAGUGAGUGGCGAACUGGUGAGUAACACGUGGGAAACCUGCCCAGAAGCGGGGGAUAACACCUGGAAACAGAUGCUAAUACCGCAUAACAACUUGGACCGCAUGGUCCGAGUUUGAAAGAUGGCUUCGGCUAUCACUUUUGGAUGGUCCCGCGGCGUAUUAGCUAGAUGGUGGGGUAACGGCUCACCAUGGCAAUGAUACGUAGCCGACCUGAGAGGGUAAUCGGCCACAUUGGGACUGAGACACGGCCCAAACUCCUACGGGAGGCAGCAGUAGGGAAUCUUCCACAAUGGACGAAAGUCUGAUGGAGCAACGCCGCGUGAGUGAAGAAGGGUUUCGGCUCGUAAAACUCUGUUGUUAAAGAAGAACAUAUCUGAGAGUAACUGUUCAGGUAUUGACGGUAUUUAACCAGAAAGCCACGGCUAACUACGUGCCAGCAGCCGCGGUAAUACGUAGGUGGCAAGCGUUGUCCGGAUUUAUUGGGCGUAAAGCGAGCGCAGGCGGUUUUUUAAGUCUGAUGUGAAAGCCUUCGGCUCAACCGAAGAAGUGCAUCGGAAACUGGGAAACUUGAGUGCAGAAGAGGACAGUGGAACUCCAUGUGUAGCGGUGAAAUGCGUAGAUAUAUGGAAGAACACCAGUGGCGAAGGCGGCUGUCUGGUCUGUAACUGACGCUGAGGCUCGAAAGUAUGGGUAGCAAACAGGAUUAGAUACCCUGGUAGUCCAUACCGUAAACGAUGAAUGCUAAGUGUU
rnacentral:rRNA from 1 species